UCAGACAGACCUUUGGGACCUCAGGGACAGAAAGACAGUACCUAAACACAGUCAUCCCAUAUGAGAAAAAAGGGACUCCUCCAUCUGUGGAUGACUUGCAAAUGCUCACAAAAAUUCUUUAUGCCAUGAAAGAAGACAGUGAGAAGGUCCCGACCCUCCUGACUGACUAUAUACUAAAAGUUCUGUGUCCUACCUAAAGUCCUGAGCGUGAUGUGCUGAUGGUGAGACUCUGGAGAGGUCAGGUGUCUUCGUUCGUCCUCUCUCAGUUCUCAAGCCCAGCUGCAUGAGCUCCCUUAUCCAGUAUCAGCGAGGGACCCUGAACAUCUAACCAUCCUUCUCUUGCUUAUCUAAUGACCUUUGACCUUGCUCAUCUCACUGCCCUUCCUGUAUUCACAUAUCCAUGAGGUUCACACCACAGCGCCUGGUGCUUUACAUGUUUUCUAUUACGUGCGUUACUACGGGCCAAAAGCCAUAUGAAACGUGUAAGGGUAACAGGUGAACUAUAAUCAGUUUAACUCUACGAUCAGGUAAUAUUUUUAUUUUUAUUUUUAAAUAUAUGCCUAACAUAAGGUAUUUUACAUACUACUCAAUCAUUCACAUCCGUUCUAAACACAGGUGACGAUGAGAAGGGCAUUAUUCACAAUCUUCUUAAGGUAGAUCCAUUGAUUCGAGAGCACAUUUGAAAAUAA